UGGACAGAUUAUUGUAUUCGACUGUAUUCACAGCGUGAAAUAGGGGAUUUCACUGUUUUUAAAACGGAAAGUGAAUCAAUUAACAUAAUAGACUCCU
rfam:Nicotiana attenuata strain TT chromosome 11, whole genome shotgun sequence.